CCCAAUUUUAGAAAAUGAAAGCUCAGGGAGGGAAGGCUCUAGUUUGGCUUCGGUUAUAGAGGUGAAUGGCCAAUAGUAGACUUUGAUGAAAUUUGAACCCAAAACGUCAUUCGAUGAUUUCGUUUGUUGAAAAUCAAAAUUCAAAUAUUCGCUUGGGGGUUGAUAAGGUCGUAGAUUUGUCAAUUGUAUCAACUAAGUUGUUUAAUGGGAUAGAUUAUCUGAAAUUAAGGGAUUCUAAACGGGUUAGAAAAUUUUCAAUUUCUACUUUUACUAAGAAUAAAUGCAGCAAAUUUAAAUGGAAGGCUUCAGUUCGUAUGCUUAUUUCAGAUGCGAUGAGUAUGAUUGUGGAGAGACUUAAUUCUAAAGAGGCUUGCCAUGAAUCUAUCUAGGUGCAGGGAGAUGUCUCGGGGAUGGUAGAGGCACUGUCUAUUCCUCUUAAGAAAAAGUGGAGGUGUGGGCUUGACAUCGCAGGUAACCUUGUCUCUUUGAUGGAGGGCUUCAAAAGGUAGAACUCUGAGAUUUUUGGUCACAUUGGUCAGAAGAAAAGGCUUCUAGCACAUCGUAUCAAUAAGGUACAGGCUGCCUUAGAUCGAAAGUGCUCAAGUUUCUUGUUGAACCUAAAACUUAAUUUGUUUAUUGAGUAUGAAAAAGUUCUCAAUGAAGAAGAAAGUCUAUAGAGACAAAAGUCAAGAGUGGAUUGGAUCUAUUUUGGGGAUAACAGUAAUGCAAUCUGAAGGCAUAAUUUCAACAGGAUUUCAACAUUAAAAGUUGGAGAUUCUUGGUGUUCUGAUGAUGAGGUCUUCCAAAAGGAAACAAUUCAUUACUUUUUCUCCCUUUUCUCAUUGGAUGAUCAAGUUCAUUUCUUGUUUUCAUUGCAUGGUCGUUUUCUGAUUCUGGAUUAAAGCUCUUUCAAUUUUUUAGCCAUGAAUGUCACAUAUGAGGAAAUUCGCAGUGCCCUCUUUAGUAUGGGUCUUUGAAGGCCUCAAGGCCAGAUGGGUUUCAUGCAUUAUUCUACCAAAAUCAAUGGAAAACAAUUGGUUCGGAUGUCUGUAAUUGGGUUUGGAAUGUUUUUUCAAGGCUUUCUCUUGAUCCUUCGAUUAAUAAGACAUUGGUUCUUAUCCCAAAAAAUCGUCCAGAAUCCUUGUCCCAAUAUAGGCCAAUUAGUCUCUACAACGUCCUGUACAAGAUUGUUACAAAUGUAAUUGCCAAUCGUUUCAAACCUAUAUUUCCAUCUCUUAUUGCUCAAAGCCAAGUAAUUUUCAUAGAAGGAAGAUAAAUAACAAAAAAUAUUAUCAUUUCCCAAGAGAUAAUUCACUCUAUGUGAAUUAAGAGAGGUAAGAAGAGUUGGAUGGCUAUUAAGGUAGACCUCGAGAAAGCCUAUGAUAGGAUUCGUUGAGACUUCAUUGAAGACACUUUAUUGGAUGUGGGUGUUCCUUUAUUAUUAUCUAAUGUUUAUCAUGGAAUGUGUUUCUACUGUGUCCAUACAGAUCAUGUGGAAUGAUAACUCCUUAGAAGUGUUCCAACCAAUGAGGGGUAUCUGACAAGGUUGCCCACUUUCUUCGUACAUUUUCAUUUUGUGUAUGGAAAGAUUGGGGCAGCUUAUCGAUAAAUAAGUUGAGGAAAAUUCGUGAAAACCCUUUCCUCUUGGAAAGAAUGGACCGUCAGUGUCAUCUAUUUUUCACUUAUGAUCCCUUCUUAUUUACUGAGGUGGAUGUGGAUCAGGCUAUAAGAAUUGGGGAUGUUCUCAGGCUAUUUGGAGCUGCUUCAGGGCAUAAAGUUAAUGGGCCAAAAACUAAAAUAUUUUUUUGGAAAAUACUAAAGCCAACACUUUUGCUGAAAUUUGUAGUAUAUUAGGGUUUAGUAUUAGUGAGGAUUUCAGGUUUUAUUUGGAUAUGUCGUUCCAUCUACAUGUUACAAUGAGUACCUUCAAGUUUAUUGUUGAUAAGGUUCUGCGGAAGCUAGAUAGCUAGGAUGCCAAGCUACUUUCAAUGGCAAGUCGAGUCACACUGGCAAGGUCUGUCUUGUUAUCAAUCCCUAAUUAUUUCAUGCAGUCUAUUAAGAUCCCUAUUUCUGUUUGUAAAGAGAUUGAAAAGAUUACUUGGAGGUUCAUUUGGGGGAGAUCCACUAUAAGUCAAAAACCAUCUUUAGUUAAAUGGGUUGACUGUUGCCAACCACUUUUUAAUGGAGGUUUAGGUCUCAAGUCUUAUAGAUCAAAAUUAUUCUUUUCUUCUUAAGUUGGGGUUCAAUUUCCUCUCUAAUAGACAAGCCUUAUGGGUUCUCUUCCUUCGAGUUAAAUAUAAGAUAGUUGAUGAUUUUCGGUAGAUAUUUUGAGGAAUUGCUGCUAUUUUCUUCGAAGAUCGCUUGCAAAGAUUUGGCCUCUCUUGCGCUAAUGUAUUGCAUGGUCUGUGGGAUAUGGUAAUCGUAUCAAAUUCUGGACUGAUAAUUGGGUCGUUGGGUUUGGACCUCUGAUUAAUUAUUGCCAUAACACCAUGGUGACAGUCUCUAAGAAGCUUCUUAGAUGACAACAUUCUAUCUAAUAUUGCAGGUAUUCCAGUUUCGAAACACCUAGUAGGUCUGGGUACUCUGAUUUCACAAUGGUCUUCCAAUGGGAGCUUCACAGUCAAAACAACCUACAAUUAUCUUAAGAAAGAUGCCUUGAAUCCUUCGGAUGAUAGUUGGAAACUCGUGUGGCUCUUUGCAGAGCCACAACGUAUUCGACAAUUCUUUGGCUGGUUUUCAAGGAAUGCUUAUUAACUAAUGCAGAACGAUGCAGAAGAGUCAAACAAUUCUUCAUGUAAGCUUUGCAGAUGUGUGGAUGAGUCUAUCAUUCAUACCUUAAGGGGUUGUUGUAAGGCAAGAGAUGUUUAGAAACAGGUCAUUCUUUCGAGUUUAUUGCAUCGAUUUUUCUUUUACUCGUUAAAGGACUAGUUAACAGUCAACUUGAGAAAUGAGUUUGCUUUAGUUUUUCAGGAGUUUGAUUGGAGGUCUCUGUUUGGUAUCCUCUGCUAGAAUAUUUGGAAACAGAGAUGUUUGUGUGCGUUCCAAGAUGUUUCGUUUAGUAAAGAUCACAUCAUUCAUUCCUCUUGGAGUUGGGCAAAAUCUCUCAAGUUUUUAUCUAGCAGACCCGCUGAAAGUACCAGGAGACAAAAUAGGAAUCAUAAGUGGAGUCCACCUCCUUCAGGUUCCAUUAAAUUGAUUAUUGAUGGUGCCCGUAAUCUAGUUUCAGGUUUAGCUGCAUUGGCAGCAAUGGCGAGAGAUGAAUAUGGCAAUUGGGUGUGUAGGGUAGGUACAAAUAUCGACAGGUGUAGUGUGGAGUAAGUGAAGCUUUGGGCAAUUUAUGAUGGUCUUAUUAUGGCAUGUGAUGCUAAAUGGAGAGAUGUUGUUGAAACGAAUUGUGCACUUUCUAUUAAAAGGAUCAGUGGUGAUUCUAAGAAUUCAGGAGUUAUGCAGCCAAGAUUGGAGUGUUGUCUUUGAGCAAAUCCCAAGGGAGGUGAAUUUUGCCGCUCACUCAUUGACUGGAAUGAUGAAGGAUUUCCCAGUUGGCGCCCAGAUAUUCCAUAGUAGUCCGUCACUAGUUAAGGAUGGAUAGCAUGUCUCUGCUUUCGACUCUCGCUAUAUCCUGCUAGUUUAAUAAUUCAUUUUCUUGUAACCAAAAAAAAAGAAGAGUUGACAACCGUAAGUGUUAAGGUGCUCUUGAAAAAACGUAUUAAGAGAAACAACUUUACUAAAA